rnacentral:rRNA from 1 species
GAUGAACGCUGGCGGCGUGCCUAAUACAUGCAAGUCGAGCGAACAGAUGAGAAGCUUGCUCAUCUGUCGUUAGCCGCUGACGUAUGAGUUUCUUGAGGUUACCCUAUCUCUAAGCCUGGAUUAACUUCCGGACUCCGAAGCUAAUACCGGACAAUAUAACUAACCGCAUGUCUCAACACUUACAGACGGCCUCGCUAUCACUUCUUCAUCUAUCCGCGCCGCAUUAGCUAGUUGGUAAGGUAACGGCUUACCAAGGCAACGAUGCGUAGCCGACCUGAGAGGGCGAACGGCCACACUGGAACUGAGACACGGUCCAGACGCCUACGGGAGGCAGCAGUAGGGAAUCUUCCGCAAUGGGCGAAAGCCUGACGGAGCAACGCCGCGUGAGUGAUGAAGGUCUUAGGAUCGUAAAACUCUGUUAUUAGGGAAGAACAAAUGUGUAAGUAACUGUGCACGUAUUGACGGUACCUAAUCAGAAAGCCACGGCUAACUACGUG